rnacentral:rRNA from 1 species
CACUUAGAUGUUCUGGGCCGCACGCGUGCUACACUGAGUGGAUCAGCGGGUCAGGUUGCGCGAAAGCGUUUCCUAAUCUUUAAAUCCGCUCGUGAUGGGGAUUGACGGUUGCAAUUUUCUGUCAUGAACGAGGAAUACCUUGUAAGCGCGGGUCAUCAUCCCGCGCUGAAUACGUCCCUGCCCUUUGUACACACCGCCCGUCGCUCCUACCGAUUGAGUGGUCCGGUGAGGCUUUGGGAUCUGAGCGGAAAGAGCGUUUCGCUGUUUCUGCUCGGAAAACUCAGUCGAACCUUAUCAUUUAGAGGAAGGAGAAGUCGUAACA